rnacentral:rRNA from 1 species
GACGAACGCUGGCGGCGUGCUUAACACAUGCAAGUCGAACGGAAAGGCCCUGCUUGCAGGGUACUCGAGUGGCGAACGGGUGAGUAACACGUGGGUGAACUGCCCUGCACUUCGGGAUGAGCCUGGGAAGCUGGGUCUAAUACCGGAUAGGAGCCAUUUUUAGUGUGAUGGUUGGAAAGUUUUUUCGGUGUAGGAUGAGCUCGCGGCCUAUCAGCUUGUUGGUGGGGUAAUGGCCUACCAAGGCGGCGACGGGUAGCCGGCCUGAGAGGGUGGACGGCCACAUUGAGACUGAGAGACGGCCCAGACUCCUACGGGAGGCAGCAGUGGGGAAUAUUGCAGAAUGGGCGCAAGCCUGAUGCAGCGACGCCGCGUGGGGGAUGACGGCCUUCGGGUUGUAAACUCCUUUCGCUAGGGACGAAGCUUUUUGUGACGGUACCUAGAUAGGAAGCACCGGCUAACUACGUG